GACGAACGCUGGCGGCGUGCUUAACACAUGCAAGUCGAACGGAAAGGCCCUGCUUUUGUGGGGUGCUCGAUUGGCGAACGGGUGAGUAACACGUGAGUAACCUGCCCUUGACUUUGGGAUAACUUCAGGAAACUGGGGCUAAUACCGGAUAGGAGCUCCUGCUGCAUGGUGGGGGUUGGAAAGUUUCGGCGGUUGGGGAUGUAAUCGCGGCUUAUCAGCUUGUUGGGGGGGUAGUGGCUUACCAAGGCUUUGACGGGUAGCCGGCCUGAGAGGGUGACCGGCGACAUGGGGACUGAGAUACGGCCCAGAAUCCUACGGGAGGCAGUAGUGGGGAAUCUUGCACAAUGGGCGGAAGCCUGAUGCAGCAACGCCGCGUGCGGGAUGACGGCCUUCGGGUUGUAAACCGCUUUCGCCUGUGACGAAGCGUGAGUGACGGUAAUGGGUAAAGAAGCACCGGCUAACUACGUG
rnacentral:rRNA from 1 species